AUUGAGAAACAAAUAUGCUAACCUAAAUGACAAAGAACUUCUGCAUGAGGCAAAGCGAAGGCAAAGGAGAUCAAAUGGGAAACUUGUAUUUGACUGUGUCAAUGCAGCACUCCUGGAAAUCACUGGCUGUGAGUCGGACAGGAGCACAGGGGUUAUGCCAUGUACUGGGGCUCACAACAGGUUUGUACAGGGGACAUCACCCAUGCUGGUGGAGCACUUGUGGGCCCAAAUGAAGGAAUGGUUCUGUGGUGAAGUUAGGUGUACUUUUGAGGACAGUGGAGACAGCUGCAGCGUGGUGGUGGAGCGGGUGGUGAGAAACGAGGUGGUGGGGAAAGGGUGGUCUGAUAAUAUGAGAGUGGAAUUAGAUAAUUUGGGGAAGGAAAUAGAAGAUAAAUUGUUGGCAGAGAUUGUGGAGGAUAUCGUGGCUGAUUUGACUAGUUGAGUUUUAUCAGGCUAACUCUUCUUUUUUUUUUUUUUUUCCCUCUAUUUUUUUUUUCAAUUUCUCUAUUUAUUUUGUCAAUUUGUGCAUUUGAUUCUCAACAAGUAUGGUCCCUACACUAUCCACCUCAAAUGCUGCAAGUGAUCAAAUUAAUGUCUAUUUGUCAAUUUGUUUAGUUUUGGAAUUUAGACAUCAACUUAAAAGCACAAUAGGACAGUUGAUUC
rnacentral:misc_RNA from 1 species